AUGCCUUUGGUUUACUGUAUUUGGGUAGUUUUCCUUGAAACCAGCAAAAGACACAACCUGAAACAGGCCAACUUCUUGCUAUCACGUUAUCGCAUACAGCAGUGUUCCUCUUCGUUCUGUCCUUCUGCGUUGUGUGGUGCUAAAGAUUGGAAAAAGCUCUGGGGAGUACAGCCAGACCUCUUUUAUCUGGCUUGCUUUUAUCCAAGAAAAAUUACCCAGCCUAUGGGAGCGGACCAUCAAAGUCACUCAUCUGUGAGCAGUUCGUUGUGGUGCUGGGAGACUGCGAGUUUUGGAAAACGUCUAUAUUGCACGAGGAAGCCUCAGAUGCACGGGAUGAGCAGCCAUGGAGCUACAAGCAAGAAAAAAGCUCGACUAGUGGAAGAAGUAUCUAGGCAAUGAGUCGCCUCCUACAUUAGUGGGAUGAGCUUCCCUCUGGGAAUUUUUGCCUUCUGGAGAAACCUAAAUGAGAGAGAUACUCCACUGCCCCACACCCUUCUUCUCUUCAUGCACUGCUGCUGCUAAAGAGACUGUCAAGCUUCCUGUUGAGAUAAAGAGCUAUGCUUACAAUGUGUAGCCCCAAACCAGCGAGAUAACACGCUGCCGUUUGCUGUGUUAGGCAAUGCCAUUUCUGUAGCAGGGUGGUAUUUCUGAAUGGGGAGAUUCAAACAGGGAACUGAUCUGAGGGUGAGCGUGUGAGGAGUUUAAUCUAAGGGUUUGAGAUGUUCCGGAUGGUAAAGAGCAAUAUUGGGAGUUUUCAGAUCAUUUUCCACGUACUAGAGACUUUCAAAUAGAAUACACAACUAUAACUAAAUUCCAGUAUUUAUUUCAUCAUGAUAAUUGAAGGGAAAGCUUUAGUAUAAAAGAUGAUGCUAAAUGUACAAAAUAUUCCAUAAAUCUCUGUCUUUCUGAUGUCAUAGAUUGCCACUUUUCUUAGCUAUUUUAUUUAAAACUUUUCAAGUUCCCAUUAUGCUAUUUAUUAUUUCAUUGGGUUAUUUAGAUGUAAAGUGAUUUUUUUAAAAUUAUCUCCAACACAAGAAAUUUCUCAAAGUCAAAGUUUUAUUGAUCAGUAAUUUUCCAGCAGCCUCUCCUUACGUUUCAGCAGAUAACUCUGGACCAGGGCCAGCUGUUGUUUCCUGGCCUCAGUCCAAUUUUUUCCCUGAAAAUGAAUACCCAAAACGUUCAUCGUUCCCAUACCAUGGAAUCAAUGUGCAUAAUACAGAAAAAAUGUCAGGCUUUAUAAUGCGAUGCAGAAAAUUAAACUCUAGUUACUAUUCGUGAGUAGGUUUUCCUUCUUAGAAUGCAUAAUUUAAAAAAUAUGUUGUGGCUGCUAUUGUGGCUGUCACACUAUCCCAUACUGGAAUCUGUGUCAGAAUUAUAAAAAACUGCUAUAUGAGAAGAGAACCUGGGCAGAUAUUUUCCUAGAACAUGUCAGAAGCAAACUUUUUGUGAACAAAUGAAUAAAAUUAAUCCUUCUCAAGGCA
rnacentral:lncRNA from 1 species